AGACUUAGAAAAAUUUCAACCACGGGCUAACAACGCUUGGUAGCCCGAGAUGAUUUUUUUUCUAAGUGUAGUAUAAACAAUAGUAAAAUAGCCAGAGGUUGAAAUUUUUCUAAGUCUUUUUCAAAUGUUCACUUACGAAAGACUUAGAAUAUUUUCAAACACAAUUAUCAAAUUUUACUAUAGUUUAUACUACACUUAGAAAAAAAAUCACUACGGGCUACCAACGCUUGGUAGCCCGAGCUGAUUUUUUUCUAAGUCUCUACUUAACUUACUCUGUUGAGAAACUGACGGGCUACGGGCUACUCCAUACAAAUCUUAAUAAAUUUCACGGGCU